rnacentral:ncRNA from 2 species
AAACGUUCACCUUGUUAUCCGGCAAGGCGCAGUACGACCCAGGUCAUGGAACGGGGGCCUGGG